AAGAACUGCUACAUGGAGCAUGGUAUUCUUCCACUGCAAUCCUUGUUUAUAAACUAAGAAUUCUGUUCUUUUUUUUUUUUUUUGCAGUUGUCUAGAGAAGAAAUGAUUAAUGUCUUCUCUGUUGUGUCAUCUUGGAAAAACUCACCCAUUAGGGCAUUUGCCUGGCACCCUCAUGUCGCUAAGUUUGUUCUGGCAUGGCAAGAUGAUUCAGUGAAAGUGUACACAUUAUCAAG